GAUGAAGAACGUAGCGAAAUGCGAUACUUGGUGUGAAUUGCAGAAUCCCGUGAACCAUCGAGUCUUUGAACGCAAGUUGCGCCCGAAGCCACUAGGCCGAGGGCACGCCUGCCUGGGCGUCACACGCCGUUGCCCCCCCAUCUACUCCUUCGGGAUUGCGGGGGGGCGGAUGAUGGCCUCCUGUGCGCCUAGCCGCGCGGUUGGCAUAAAUACCAAGUCCUCGGCGACGCACGCCACGACAAUCGGUGGUUGCGAAACCUCGGUUGCCCGUCGUGUGCGUUCGUCGCGCAUCGAGGGCUCGAAAAAAUGCUCGGCUCCGGCUGGGCUUUCAACGCGACCCCAGGUCAGGCGGGGUUACCCGCUGAAUUUAAGCAUAUCAAUAAGCGGAAGGA
rnacentral:misc_RNA from 1 species